GUCCACGCCCUAAACGAUGUCUACUAGUUGUCGGGUCUUAAUUGACUUGGUAACGCAGCUAACGCGUGAAGUAGACCGCCUGGGGGAGUACGGUCGCAAGAUUAAAAACUCAAAGGAAUUGACGGGGACCCGCACAAGCGGUGGAUGAUGUGGAUUAAUUCGAUGCAACGCGAAAAACCUUACCUACCCUUGACAUGGAUGGAAUCCCUGAGAGAUUGGGGAGUGCCCGAAAGGGACCAUUACACAGGUGCUGCAUGGCUGUCGU
rnacentral:rRNA from 1 species